GUGCAGGCGCAGUUGGCAAAGCUCCCGAAGAAUCUUUUGGCGAAAGCUUCUCUGACUAAGGCCACUGGACAAGUAUGCGUUGGCGCAGCUUCCUCAAGUGAUUUCAUCUCUGGACGCUCAUAUAGAAAGUGGAUUGCACAGCGGUGUUCAUUUGAACACAGUAACUC